rnacentral:rRNA from 1 species
GACAAACGCUGGCGGCGUGCCUAAUACAUGCAAGUCGAGCGGAACUUUGGGAGCUUGCUCCCAUUGUUUAGCGGCGGACGGGUGAGUAACACGUGGGCAACCUGCCCUGCAAAUCGGGAUAACUCCGGGAAACCGGUGCUAAUACCGAAUAGUUUGCGGCCUCUCCUGAGGCUGCGCGGAAAGACGGUUUCGGCUGUCACUGCAGGAUGGGCCCGCGGCGCAUUACCUAGUUGGUGGGGUAAUGGCCUACCAAGGCGACAAUGCGUACCCAACCUGAGAGGGUGAUCGGCCACACUGGGACUGAAACACGGCCCAAACUCCUACGGGAGGCAGCAGUAGGGAAUCUUCCGCAAUGGACAAAAGUCUGACGGAGCAACGCCGCGUGAGUGACGAAGGUUUUCGGAUCGUAAAACUCUGUUGUGAGGGAAAAACAAGUACCAACUAACUACUGGUACCUUGACGGUACCUCACCAAAAAGCCACGGCUAACUACGUG